rnacentral:rRNA from 1 species
GACGAACGCUGGCGGCGUGCUUAACACAUGCAAGUCGAACGGUAAGGCCCUUCGGGGUACACGAGUGGCGAACGGGUGAGUAACACGUGGGUGAUCUGCCCUGCACUUCGGGAUAAGCCUGGGAAACUGGGUCUAAUACCGGAUAGGACUCCGGACUGCAUGGUCUGGGGUGGAACGCUUUUGCGGUGUGGGAUGGGCCCGCGGCCUAUCAGCUUGUUGGUGGGGUGAUGGCCUACCAAGGCGACGACGGGUAGCCGGCCUGAGAGGGUGACCGGCCACACUGGGACUGAGAUACGGCCCAGACUCCUACGGGAGGCAGCAGUGGGGAAUAUUGCACAAUGGGCGCAAGCCUGAUGCAGCGACGCCGCGCGAGGGAUGACGGCCUUCGGGUUGUAAACCUCUUUCAGCAUCGACGAAGCGAAAGUGACGGUAGGUGCAGAAGAAGGACCGGCCAACUACGUGCCAGCAGCCGCAGUAA